rnacentral:rRNA from 1 species
GAUGAACGCUGGCGGCGUGCCUAAUACAUGCAAGUCGAGCGAAUGGAUUAAGAGCUUGCUCUUAUGAAGUUAGCGGCGGACGGGUGAGUAACACGUGGGUAACCUGCCCAUAAGACUGGGAUAACUCCGGGAAACCGGGGCUAAUACCGGAUAACAUUUUGAACCGCAUGGUUCGAAAUUGAAAGGCGGCUUCGGAUGUCACUUAUGGAUGGACCCGGGUCGCAUUAGCUAGUUGGUGAGGUAACGGCUCACCAAGGCAACGAUGCGUAGCCGACCUGAGAGGGUGAUCGGACACACUGGGACUGAGACACGGCCCAGACUCCUACGGGAGGCAGCAGUAGGGAAUCUUCCGCAAUGGACGAAAGUCUGACGGAGCAACGCCGCGUGAGUGAUGAAGGCUUUCGGGUCGUAAAACUCUGUUGUUAGGGAAGAACAAGUGCUAGUUGAAUAAGCUGGCACCUUGACGGUACCUAACCAGAAAGCCACGGCUAACUACGUGCCAGCCGCCGCUGUAA